UGCAUAAAUCAAGCGUUUAAGGGCGUAUGGCGGAUGCCUAGGCACUGAAAGGCGAUGAAGGACGUGGUAUACUGCGAUAAGUUUCGGGGAGCCGUAUGCAGGCUUUGAUCCGAAAAUUUCCGAAUGGGAAAACCCACCACUUUUUGUGGUACUUCAAACUGAAUUCAUAGGUUUGAAGAGCUAACCCGGAGAACUGAAACAUCUAAGUAACCGGAGGAAAAGAAAUCAAUUGAGAUUCCGUUAGUAGUGGCGAGCGAACGCGGAACAGGCCAGCAACAAUAUUGAGAUAAUCUAAAUAGUUUGGAAAAGCUAACCAUAGAGGGUGAUAGUCCCGUAGGAGUAAUGCUUAGUAUUGUUCUUGAGUAGAGCGGGACACGAGAAAUCUUGUUUGAAUAUAGGGGGACCACCCUCUAAGCCUAAAUACUCUUCAGUGACCGAUAGUGAACUAGUACCGUGAGGGAAAGGUGAAAAGAACCCCUAUUAGGGGAGUGAAAUAGAACCUGAAACCGUAUGCCUACAAACAGUCGAAGCUCUUUUUAGAGUGACGGCGUACCUUUUGUAUAAUGGGUCAGUGACUUAAUUUAUCCAGCAAGCUUAAGCCGCAAGGUGUAGGCGUAGCGAAAGCGAGUCUUAAAUGGGCGCAAGUUGUAUGAAUUAGACCCGAAAACGAAUGAGCUUACCAUGAGCAGGUUGAAAGCAGGGUAACACUUGCCGGAGGACCGAACCAGUUGACGUUGAAAAGUCUUUGGAUGACUUGUGGUAAGGGGUGAAAGGCCAACCAAAUUCGUAGAUAGCUGGUUUUCCGCGAAAACUAUUUAGGUAGUGCGUUGAGUAAAUUGAUGUUUGGAGGUAGAGCACUAAAGGGGCUAGGGGAGAGAAAUCUUUACCAACCCUCAUAAAACUCCGAAUGCCAAACAUUUUACCUCAGCAGACAGACUGUGGGUGCUAAGGUCCAUGGUCGAGAGGGAAAAAGCCCAGAUCACCAGAUAAGGUCCCUAAAUCAUGAUUAAGUGUGAAAGGAUGUGGAGAUUCCUAAACAGCCGGGAGGUUGGCUUAGAAGCAGCCAUCCUUUAAAGAUAGCGUAACAGCUCACCGGUCUAAUAGAGUUUCUGCGCCAAAGAUGUAACGGGGCUCAAAUCAUGUACCGAAUCUGUGAAUUUAUAAUUUCUUAGGAAAUUAUAUCUGGUAGCGGAACGUUCUGUAAGCCUGUAAAGGGAUACCCGUGAGGGAUCCUGGAGGUAUCAGAAGUGCGAAUGCUGACAUAAGUAACGAUUAACAGAGUGAAAAACUCUGUCGCCGAAAAUCCAAGGGUUCCUGCGCAAGGUUAAUCCGCGCAGGGUUAGUCGGUCCCUAAGUCGAGGGCGAGAGCCGUAGACGAUGGAAACAAGGUUAAUAUUCCUUGACCCGAUGGUAGUGACGGAUUACGUAAAUUGUUAACUCUUAUUGGAUUGAGUUAGCCGUGAAGUAGUCCCAGGAAAUAGCUCCAUCAUAGGACCGUACCCGAAACCGACACAGGUGGAUUAUUAGAGUAUAAUUAGGCGCUUGAGAGAAUGAUGUUGAAGGAACUCGGCAAAAUGCCUCCGUAACUUCGGAAGAAGGAGGACCCAUUAUAAGGCAACUUUUAGUGGGUGGCACAAGCUAGGGAGAUGCGACUGUUUAUCAAAAACACAGGGCUCUGCUAACACGUAAGUGGAGUGUAUAGGGUCUGACGCCUGCCCGGUGCUGGAAGGUUAAUGCGAUCAGUGCAAGCUGAUUUCUGAAGCCCCAGUGAACGGCGGCCGUAACUAUAACGGUCCUAAGGUA
rnacentral:rRNA from 1 species